GUUGAACAGACCAUAAUAUUUAACCACAGAGUAUAUUAAAAAACUAAUUAUAAACACGAAAUAACAACGAAGUGACUAAGCAAAUGGAAGAAAAUACUCCAUCUAAAAAAGUAUUUGAUUCAAUGGCCGUUAUUAUAAAACGCAGUAAAGAACCUCCACAUCUUCGGUCGAAGGACUAACGAUACGAAGACAUUUGUUACAACCGAUUGACAACAACAAGCCACUGAUCGAGCUGACUGGCGAUGACUACUAAACGUGACCAAGGACGACUCACAUCUAUCAUGAAUCAACUUAUUUAAAAUAAAAAUUAGAUCUUUUGAUAACGUUAUCAAAAUUUGAGCAAAAAAUUGUGUUUAAGUCUAUGUAACACCUAAUCUUAAAAUAGAAUGACAGUAGAUUUUCUACUUAAAUCUAGUGCUAAUAUCUAUUUCACACAAAAAAUUGAAAAAAAAAAUCCGCAUAUAAAAAAAAUCGUCUGCAAUGUUUAAAUUUUGUGAUUAUCAAAGUGUAACGAUAUAAAGGCCCACGUAGAUUCUAUUAGCAGUAAUCAAGGAUGUCAACAUAAGUACUCAUUAUAGAAUGCUUAUAUAUUCUUCAGGUUACCAAAAUAAGAUAAUUAUAGGAUACAGCUAAAGUGUUUAUAAAUUCUGUUCGGUUGUUAGGUAAUUUGAUAUACUUUUCAACUAAGCACUGUGCUCUUUUCAGACAAUAUGAUGAGGUCAAGAAAACAACAUAUAUAUAUGUAAAAAAUGUAUGUACAUACAUGUAAAAAACAGCAUACUAUGUGCUUGGGGUGUGCCCGGCAUUGAUGCACAAGCGGAUGUAACACCUAGGAGGGUAUUUCAUGGAUCAUAAAGAUUCAAGUCUAGGAAAGGUCGGCUCUAUACUGUCUCUCAUUAAAGAAAUCGGACUUGGAGAAACAUUCUAACCCGGGUAAGUGGCAAAAUACAUCUUUUAGGUCGCAGUGCACAAUUCCUUUUAUUAAUAAUAUUAAUAAUAAUAAUGUAAAAAAACACAAAAAGAAACAAAACCUACAGGUAAACCAAUACAGAAAAUACGAUACCACAAUCAACUGUGAUGACAUAUUUCAACUUCUGGUUUCGGCUCAUUUUACACUUUGAAUGUUAGAAAAAAACUUUAUUUAUUUUAUUUUUUAUCGAUUUGCUACUGGAGUUAAGCAAAUGGAACUACUAUAUUAGCACAACAAUUAAUAAAUGCUUACAUUUAAUGUAGUUUUAGCGGUAAACCUAUAGCUCUAAU